GCCUCCGUAGCUCAGUGGAUAGAGCAUCCCUCUCCUAAAGGGAAGGCGCGGGUUCGAUCCCCGCCGGGGGCACCA
rnacentral:tRNA from 1 species